CGGUUGAUCCUGCCGGAGGUCAUUGCUAUUGGAGUUCGAUUUAGCCAUGCUAGUUGCACGAGUUUAGACUCGUAGCAGAUAGCUCAGUAACACGUGGCCAAACUACCCUCUGGACGCGGAUAACCUCGGGAAACUGAGGCUAAUCCGUGAUAGCGUUCCCACGCUGGAGUGCGGGGAACGUGAAAUGUUCAGGCGCCAGAGGAUGUGGCUGCGGCCGAUUAGGUAGACGGUGGGGUAACGGCCCACCGUGCCAGUAAUUGGUACGGGUUGUGAGAGCAAGAGCCCGGAGACGGUAUCUGAGACAAGAUACCGGGCCCUACGGGGCGCAGCAGGCGCGAAACCUUUACACUGCACGAGAGUGCGAUAAGGGGACUCCAAGUGCGAGGGCAUAUAGUCCUCGCUUUUCACCACCGUAAGGUGGUGGUGGAAUAAGUGCUGGGCAAGACCGGUGCCAGCCGCCGCGGUAAUACCGGCAGCACGAGUGAUGACCGCUAUUAUUGGGCCUAAAGCGUCCGUAGCUGGCCAGGCAAGUCCAUCGGGAAAUCCGCGUGCUUAACGCGCGGGCGUCCGGUAGAAACUGCUUGGCUUGGGACCGGAAGACCAGAGGGGUACGUCUGGGGUAGGAGUGAAAUCCUGUAAUCCUGGACGGACCACCGGUGGCGAAAGCGCCUCUGGAAGACGGAUCCGACGGUGAGGGACGAAAGCUCGGGUCACGAACCGGAUUAGAUACCCGGGUAGUCCGAGCUGUAAACGAUGUCUGCUAGGUGUGCCACAGGCUACGAGCCUGUGGUGUGCCGUAGGGAAGCCGUGAAGCAGACCGCCUGGUAA
rnacentral:rRNA from 1 species